UCCAAACAAGCUCUCAAGGUCCCAGGUAGCUAGGAUUACAGGCACACGCCAUCAUGCUUCACUAUCAUUCUCUUCUCAAUUAAAGGUAAUACUGUUCUUUUAGCUGCUUAGGCCAAAAACUUUUGGAGUCAUGCUUGACUUUUCUUUCUUUCACAGCCCACAUCCCAUCCAUUGCAAAUCACAUUGGCUGUAUGUUCCAAAUACACCCAGAAUUGAGUGACAUCUUAUCACUUUGCUACCACCAUCAGGGCCAGGUCAGCAUCACCUGUCACCUGGAUUAUUGCAGUAGCCUCCCAUCUUAUGUCUUCACUUGUACCCUUGCCUCUCCCUACAUUCUGUUUUCAGCUUCAACUGCUAGAGAGAUCCUUAAAAAUAUGUCAGAUCAUGUCACUCCUCUGCUCAAAGCCCUGCAGUGGUUGAUGAGGUCUAGAGAAUGUGUUGUUUCUAAAUAAUUUCUGUUAAUCAUGGUAAUAUAAUUACUUCAAAGGAAUUUCAUUCUUAUUGUGUGAUUGCUCGCAUUUCUAAUUCCUAACUUAGUGCUGUGUCUGGGAUGUGGAAGGUGGUCCGAAAAUGUUGGUGGCGUCAAGGGAUAGUGGGUAUAUAUUAGGUAACCUCUCCAGAUGAGAACAGAUGAACAGUCAUUUCCAUGUGUUCAGGUGCUGUGCCUGUCAGAGAUACUUUGGGAGAUUUUAUACUGAAUACGUUCUUCUUGCCCAUUAGUACUGUUCUUUUUCUCAAGAAAUGGAGUUGUCGGCCAGGUGAGGUGGCUCAUGCUCGUAAUCCCAACACUUUGGGAGGUUAAGGUGGGCGGAUUGCUUGAGCCCAGGAGUUCGAGACCAGUCUGGGCAAUAUAGUGAAACCUUAUCUCUACAAAAAAAUACAAAAGAGUAGCCAGGUCUGGUGGGGCAUACCUGUAGUCCCAGCUACUUGGGGUAAGGGCUGAGGUGGGAGGAUGGCUUGAGUCCGGGAGGUGGAGGUUGCAGUGACUGUGCCAUUGUAUUCCAGCCUGGGUGAUAGAGCGAGACCCUGUCUCAAAAUGAAGUGGUAUCCAGUCCUUAAUGACAUUGGGACCAUUUGU
rnacentral:lncRNA from 10 species